AUGAACGCUGGCGGCGUGCCUAAUACCUGCAAGUCGAGCGAACGGACGAGAAGCUUGCUUUUCUGAUGUUAGCGGCGGACGGGUGAGUAACACGUGGAUAACCUACCUAUAAGACUGUGAUAACUUCGGGAAACCGGAGCUAAUACCGGAUAAUAUUUUGAACCGCAUGGUUCAAAAGUGAAAGACGGUCUUGCUGUCACUUAUAUAUGGAUCCGCGCUGCAUUAGCUAGUUGGUAAGGUAACGGCUUACCAAGGCAACGAUGCAUAGCCGACCUGAGAGGGUGAUCGGCCACACUGGAACUGAGACACGGUCCAGACUCCUACGGGAGGCAGCAGUAGGGAAUCUUCCGCAAUGGGCGAAAGCCUGACGGAGCAACGCCGCGUGAGUGAUGAAGGUCUUCGGAUCGUAAAACUCUGUUAUUAGGGAAGAACAUAUGUGUAAGUAACUGUGCACAUCUUGACGGUACCUAAUCAGAAAGCAACGGCUAACUACGUG
rnacentral:rRNA from 1 species